AAUGGUCUCCCAUAGCAACACCAACACAUAGCAACACCACAAGGCUGCCACCAAACAAGCCCCUAAGAUGGAUUGACUGAUGCUAUGACAACAGUCCCAUAAAUAGCCAUCUCCAUGUCACAAUGCAGCUGUGUGGGCUCGCCACCUGGGGCUAUGUUAGCCAGCAUUAUCUGGUGGAUGGGAUCCAGGGUUCCUGAGUUCUUCUCCCUGCUUGGCUGGUGCUUUAUGGUGUGACCUUGGACAAAUUGCAACUUCUGAGUGUUUCACUUUUCUCACUGGUAAAAUGUGGAUUUUGACACCUACCUGUCCUGGGAAACCGCCUGGUGACCUGCUCGCAGAGAACAGGUGCUAUGCCACAUCCCUUCCUCUCCCGACAAGGUCGCUUGGCUGAGCCAGAAAACCUCCCACACCCCCGCCUGCCACGCUCCCGCUGAGCACUGAGCAUCGUGCCACCGGCUGGAUUUUCACAGCUUCUCCUGACACAGAUGAACUCUGCUGUUUGCUUAGAGAUCGAAACAUCGUUUGUCCCCGAAACGUGGCCUGCUGGAGGUUUUGGAUUUCAGGUGGGGGUCAUUGAAGCCAAUAUCUCACUCCAGAGGGUAAGCAAGGAUGCAUCAUGCAGCUUCAGACCCUAUGCUGCUCUCCUGUGUGCCGCUUUGGUCCCAGCACAAGUGAUUGCCGAUUGGCAAGGGAAAGUUUCCUACAAAGGGGGAAGGAACAAAGCAGCUCUGCUAAGGAACCUACAGCAGAGGAUUGGCAAGUACCUGCAGGAAAGUUUCCUAGAGAUCUCUCUGAAGGAUUCCUGUGAAAUCUCGGUGUGAAUCAACACACUCUUCCGCCACACUGCUAAGCUACACAAAGGAAUGUGGAGCACAUGUAAACUGGUACAUUUCUAUCCUUUCACCCACGUCUAGAAUAUACAGAGCAAAGGACAGCUCUACCUCAUAUAACCAAGCAGCAGCAACAUAUCCACAGGACUGUUGGC